GAUUGCGAGUGCAGUGUUAAAACACUGCAUUUGCAGUCAUCCACAUGAGAACCUUUCUCGGCCUUCAUUGGUCGGUUGGGGGAUCAUGUACUUUACUUUGAAAAAAUCAGAGUGUUUCAGGCAGGCGUUUGCAUGAAUACACAAGCAUGGAAUAAUGGAAUAGGACUAGGGUCCAUUUUAUUGGUUAUUGGACCAUAGUA
rnacentral:rRNA from 1 species